GCAUAGCCCUGAUUGAAGUGACAUCCUUUUUUAUGCUGAACUUGUUGCAGUAACUUCUAUUAAUAUACUAUUCGUAUUAAAUGAAGAGAUCCUGAACUAAAUUCAGCAUAAAAAAGAUAUAACGGAAAGCAGGAAAUAGC
rnacentral:sRNA from 1 species